rnacentral:lncRNA from 1 species
CCCUUUUUGGAUCUCCUAUCUGCUGCAUGGAACAGGUCUCUGGUUGCAGGUGCACAAGAAGUUGGCAAAUGACAAACAGAAAUGACAGACACAAAAGGGCUCAGAGCUACAAGUUUACAUUGAAUCUCACAGUGGAACUUACACAUAAACUUUUGAAUGGUCAUGAGAGUUUGACAACUGUGUCAAUGCUUGGAGAUGGGGUAAAUAUAAGAUUGACAUGAACAUUUAA